AGCAGAGUGCUCCAGUGGAAGCGUGCUGGGCCCAUAACCCAGAGGUCCGUGGAUCAAAAUCACGCUCCGCUU